AACGAACGCUGGCGGCAGGCUUAACACAGGCAAGUCGAGCGCCCCGCAAGGGGAGCGGCAGACGGGUGAGUAACGCGUGGGAAUCUACCCAUCUCUACGGAAUAACGCAUGGAAACGUGUGCUAAUACCGUAUACGUCCUUCGGGAGAAAGAUUUAUCGGAGAGGCGAUGAGCCCGCGGUGGAUUAGCUAGUUGGGGGGGUAAAGGCCUACCAAGGGGACGAUCCAUAGCCGGCCGGAGAGGAUGAUCGGCAACACUGGGACUGAGACAAGGCCCGGCAUCGGACGGAGGGCAGCAGUGGGGACUAUGGGACAAUGGGCGCAAGCCUGCACGGGCCGUGCGGGGUGAGUGAUGAAGGUGCUGGGGUUGUAAAGCUCUUUCACCGGUGAAGAUAAUGACGGUAGCCGGGGAAGAAGGCCCGGCUAACUUCGUGCCAGCCGCCGCUGUAAAAC
rnacentral:rRNA from 1 species